rnacentral:lncRNA from 1 species
AAGCAGAAAGCAAAAGUAGAAAAAAGGGAAGAAGAUAAAAAGAAGGGCGCAGUCUUCGCCAUGAUCAUCUCGACCCGACCAUUGUUGUAAAGAUAUUUAAGAACCAAGCAUAAUGGAGAAAAUGAUGAGGUUUGUUAUGGGGGAGGCCAUAAUCCACCACUAUCAAGUCUGCCACACUCAAUCAUCAAUUCGCACUCAUGAAAAACAACCACAAAGAUAAGACUCUUAUUUUUACAGCCCAUACCCACUGUUAUUGAUGAAUAUUUUAUUAAGUUGUCUUCUGCAAAUUGGAACAAUUAUUAUAUAGUUAUACUGAUGUGUAAAGAAGGCAGCAUGCCAAAAAAAAGGGCAAAAUGUCGGCAAGCCGAAAAUAGUGGGUUGAAAUGUUAUGUGGAGGGCGAAUGCCCAUAUGCCCAAAAAGAGCUAGGCCCUAUGGCUUCAAACUCCAACCUUAAUCCCUCCGCUUAAGGUUCACCCUCUAUUAUCACCAACCAGGUGAUCAAAAGUACGUAUCAAAAGUACGUCCAAUACUCCAAAAUUAUUCAGCAGUCUGCCGCUAUUAUCACCAACUAGGUGAUCAAAAGUAUGUCUAGUAUUCCAAAAUUAUUCAGCAGCUUGCCGUUAUUAUCACCAACUAGGUGAUCAAAAGUACAGCCCGUCCUCCAAAAAAGCAUACAUGAGCAUCACUCAUAACAAUCAUACAUAAACAUUUAUGAGCAUGACUCAUGUCAAUCAUAACAUAAACAUUUAUGAGCAUCACUCAUGACAAUCACCAUCAUACAUGAGCAUCACUCAUGUCAAUCAUACAUAAACAUUUAUGAGUAUCACUCAUGUCAAUCAUAACAUAAACAUUUAUAAGCAUCACUCAUGUCAAUCAUACAUAAACAUAUUUGGGGCUACAAUGGCGGGCUGAAGAUUUGAGCAUUUCUGAUGUUACAAUUUGAAAGAAAGAUGCUUAUACUUCCGUGUAUGGGAGCAUUUCUGGUGGGAUCAUGGAAGAAAAAAUCGAUAAUAUCGGCGAAAUAUCGCCGAUAUUAUCGUUUUUUUGAAGAUCCGAUAUUUUUUUAACUAUCCAAAUGAUUUUCGUCAAAAUAUCUAGAUAUUAUCGAUAAUAUCGCGAUAUUUUCGAAAUUAUCGAUAAUAUCGUCACAUAAUACUAAAAAAUACUUAAAUAUGUUGAGAAAACUCAACACAUACUUCACUUGAUCAUAGCCCAAAGGGCGAACAAGAUAUGGCUUACUGAGCAGGGGAAUGUGGGUUUUAUAGGACAAAUUGCGAGGGCAGUGAGCAAGCAUGGGCGAUGUGGGACUCUCCCAAUAGGAGAAAAUCAGAAUUUCGGCCGAAAAUUUACACCCACUUUAAACGGCCAUAACUUUGUCAAAACUCAACGAAAUCAAGUAAGACAAAAACGAAAGUUGUAGCCCUCGAAGAGACGAAGAGAAUGGUACCUCACACGACGUCUGAAUCGUCGUGGUUUGGCCGGAAAAUGCCUCGAAAGUCACUGAGAUCGCCGGAAACUGGGUAAGAUUCAAAUGAGUAUAACUUUUUUAAUACUCAACGAAAUUGAGUGAAACAAAAAGGAAAGUUGUACUACUCGACGAGACGAAGAGAUUGAUACCUUGCACGCCGGCCAACUCGCCGUGGUUUGGCCGGAAAUUGCCUCGAAAGCCACUGAGGUCGCCGGAAAUUGGGUAAGAUUCAAAUGAGUAUAACUUUUUCAAUACGCAACGAAAUUGAGUGAAACAAAAAGGAAAGUUGUAGCCCUCGAAGAGACGAAGAGAAUGGUAUCUCACACCAAGGAAGAAAAUAUCGGUAAUAUCGGUAGUCCGAAAACACGGAAAUAUCGAUGGAAAUAUCGGGAUAAUAUCGAUAUCGAUAAAAAUUACAUGGAAACCACGGAAAUUGUAAGAAAAACUUGGAAAUUUUUAAUGAAACUUUGUAGGAUGUUUAUUUAGUCAAUUAUCUAUUAGUUUAUCACAAAAAAUUGGAAGGAAAUACAUUGCAUGAUGGAUUUAACUGAUUUAAAUUGAUUAUAUAGCGAGCUGGCAAACAUUGUGAGUGUAGAAAAUAUGUAGUAAUUAAUGAAAGAAGUUUAAACACACCAUAAUCAUUUAUAUAUAAUUAAUUAGUACAAUAUUUGGAGGUUUUAUUUAGGAUAUUAAAAAAAAAAAGGGAAGUGAAUAAAAUGAUGAAGAAUAAUGUGCCGAAUUUGACACUUUAAAUUUCUUACACAUAAGAAUAAGACUAAACUUUAAUUUGGAUGCCGAUUAUGUUUUUUCAAGUUUAUAUAAAGUAAAAGAAUUGAAUUUUGGAAGCCAGGAGUGUGUCAAUUGAAUUUUGGCCGGCGUGCAAGGUAUCAAUCUCUUCGUCUCGUCGAGUAGUACAACUUUCCUUUUUGUUUCACUCAAUUUCGUUGAGUAUUGAAAAAGUUAUACUCAUUUGAAUCUUACCCAGUUUCCGGCGACCUCAGUAGCUUUCGAGGCAAUUUCCGGCCAAACCACAACGAUUCAGACGUCGUGUGAGGUACCAUUCUCUUCGUCUCUUCGAGGGCUACAACUUUCCUUUUUGUUUCACUCAAUUUCGUUGCGUAUUGAAAAAGUUAUACUCAUUUGAAUCUUACCCAAUUUUCGGCGACCUCAGUGGCUUUCGAGGCAAUUUCUGGCCAAACCACGGCGAGUUGGCUGGCAUGCAAGGUAUCAAUCUCUUCGUCUCGUCGAGUAGUACAACUUUCCUUUUUGUUUCACUCAAUUUCGUUGAGUAUUAAAAAAGUUAUACUCAUUUGAAUCUUACCCAGUUUCCGGCGAUCUCAGUGACUUUCGAGGCAUUUUCCGGCUAAACCACGACGAUUCAGACAUCGUGUGAGGUAUCAUUCUCUUCGUCUCUUCGAGGGCUACAACUUUCGUUUUUGUCUUGCUUGAUUUCGUUGAGUUUUGACAAAGUUAUGGCCGUUUAAAGUGGGUGUAAAUUUUCGGCCGAAAUUCUGAUUUUCUCCUAUUUGGAGAGUCCUACAUCGCCCAUGCUUGCUCACUGCCCUCGCAAUUUGUCCUAUAAAACCCACAUUCCCCUGCUCAGUAAGCCAUAUCUUGUUCGCCCUUUGGGCUAUGAUCAAGUGAAGUAUGUGUUGAGUUUUCUCAACAUAUUUAAGUAUUUUUUAGUAUUAUGUGGCGAUAUUAUCGAUAAUUUUGAAAAUAUCGCGAUAUUAUCGAUAUUAUCGAUAAUAUCCCGAUAUUUUGACGAAAAUCAUUUGGAUAGUUAAAAAAAUAUCGGAUCUCCAAAAAAACGAUAAUAUCGGCGAUAUUUCGCCGAUAUUAUCGAUUUUUUCUUCCAUGCCUCACACGACGUCUGACUCGUUGUGGUUUGGCCGGAAAUUACCUCGAAAGCCACUGAGGUCGCCGGAAACUGGGUAAGAUUCAAAUG